GUCUAUGGCCAUGCCACCCUGAGCACGCCUAAUCCCGUCUGACCUCGGAAGCUAAGCAGGGUCGGGCCUGGUUAGGACUUGGAUGGGCAGAAAUUGGUUUUGCAGUCU
rnacentral:rRNA from 1 species